GCUCGUAAGUCGUCUCGGCACUCUGCGAUCGGCUGCGCUCGGGCGUUACCGUCGUUCUAUCGGCGCUCUGCCCCACCCCACUUGCUCGACGUUUUCACGUAACGGUCCUUCGGUCUUCACUCUUCAAUCCAGCGCGAUACUCUGAAUACGAUAGUAGUAAUGAGCUGUCGUCACUAUGAUUAGUUCUAUCACCGAACCGGAGAGGUUUUGAAAAGUAAUGCCCCUUUAGUAGUAGGAGCAUAUUUGUAUCGAGUUUUUGCUAAGAUUGACGAUGGUCGACUAACAUGAACGUUGAGGCAUAAUAAUUAGCGACGGUAAACAAUGGGCAUGUCGUCCUCUGGCCGCUACCUGCGCAUGACGAUAGAGGACGUGUGACUUGUCCUGCCUUGUCCUUGCCGGGGCGCGAUGAAGAAUUUCUAUGAUUGGAACAAAGCAAACAACGGUCAAUGAACUCCGAUCAAACUGCCGACAGAGAACAAUAUAAAGAUCAUAAGUUUUGUAAUAGACACGGAAUUGAAGUAUAGGUAGAACUGUUAGAAGGAACGUAAGUAGCACAUAAUGCAGUGUGGCAAGUGAGUAUGUCGGCAUAGCGAGCGGUUACAUGCCCUCUUGAUUAGGGUUGCUACUAAACAUAAAUCAAUACUUUUUGGUAAUUUCUUCGGUUUUCUAGUGUCUUAAAUAUAAUUGAUGCUUUCAAUAUCUUAAAACUAUUUUGAAAACUAUUCAGUUAUCGUCGUCUAUGGACCACAAAAAAUUGUAAAGUAUUCCAAACUGACGUAAAUAUAAUGACAGCUAUAAACGCAAAAUUAAACCGUAAAGGUGCUUUUAAUUAUAAGUAUUAUUAAUUUUAUACCAAAAGUAACUAAUUAGUGUGACACAGUGCUUCAAUAAGCAUAACUAGGACGGCUAUGUAGUUAAUGGCAUGCAUUUAAAUCUCAAUGUAAGCUGAUAAAAAAUAAUUACUUACAUAUUAUCGAUAAGAUCUACAUAAUUUAUAUUAACGUUUCGGCUGAUAAAAAAUUAACCGGCUAUUAAUCAGAAGACAUGGGAACAGCCCGAAUCUCCGUAAACUAGUUCGGUAAUUCCCCAUUAUUCGACUUUUCUAUUUUCCCUACCUAUUCGCUGGUAUCCUAAGAGACUAUUCCAGCUACACCCUAACGGGUAGGCAAACUCA